rnacentral:lncRNA from 1 species
CAGGAUGUUGGUCUUGCUAGCAUCGCUCUCUCUUUCAUAUGAGUCCUUGGUGACUGCUCUUCUAGUGAAGAAGAGCACCAUCAAGAUAGACAAGGUCACCAUAGUGAUUCUUCAGAACGAGGUUCUUAAGCGGGAGAACCAGGCUUCGAGCUCUAAUAGCGGUAGCUCAGCUUUGGCGAUUUUUGAAGGAGCAGGUGGCAGU